rnacentral:tRNA from 1 species
GCUUCCUUAGCUCAGCUGGAUAGAGCGUCCGCCUCCUAAGCGGAAGGCGUUCGGCUCCCCUGACGAGGGU